GAAAAGAUGUUAGAACCACACAGAUCAGCAGCUGGAGUGGCGGUGAGAGAGUGACAGGACGUUUCGGAGACGGCUGAUUGUGACAAGCACGGAGAACGGUCCAAGGAUCAUUAAAUCGCUGCUCUGCGCCCGUGAUGACAACAUAGGAAAGGAAAUAAAGUGAAGCGAUUCAUUAUUUAUACCUACGGCACAGAGAUUAUGAUAAACAAGAGUUAAUCCCAUGAGAUUUUCCCCCAUAGUGGUAUUAAAUUUUUCAGGGAACAUCAGAGUAUUCGAUGAAGAAAUUUUGUCUAAGCCGGUAAAUGAGAUGAGUGGGUUUUUCUAAACCCCUUAGUCUAUGUCCCAGGAGCAUCAACUGUAAUGUGGGUAAUCUGGCCUCGAGCUUGACGGAUAUUGUGUCCCACUGGAGGGGCAGCGCUGGUAUGGAGGGAGACAGUCUCUUUUUAGACUUUUUAGUCUGAGGGAGUUUACUUGACAGGACAGCUGCGACGAAACAGGAGAAAAAGAGGCACAGGAGGUUGGACUGGCCCUUGGUGGGGAAUUCACAGCUCAGCAGUAUUUCCCAUGGUGCAGUGGGGAACUGCGAUGUCCAGGACCAGUUUUGAAGCCCAGUUCAGCCCUGUUUCCCACGCUCCUAUAUGCUACAAGGCAUAUGGCAUUAAGUUAAGGUUCUUCCCCUUCUCACCAAAUGACCCAUUCACUUUCAUUUUCAUAACCAGGAUGUUCUGAAUUGCUGGUCAGUUCAUUUUUAAGUUCCCUCUAUUUCAGGGGUCUGUCUUCCUCUCUGGGCUGUGAAGAUGGUCAGGUGAACAAGCAGGGUGAGACUGAUACCACGUGACUCAACGAAAGCCCUUCUAAUCACAUGAACCGAAAUGAAUUAAAGGAAGUUUGCUUCUCUCUGGAAGACAAAACCCACAUGAUAGCAGUUUUCUCUAACUGCCAUCUCCCGUAACACGCCCAAACUGCCUACAUGAUAAGUAAUGGGUAACCCAAUCAAUGAGUGAUCUGCAUCAUCCUGAGAUAUGGACACAGUGACCAAGAGGCUCCAUGAACAUUGUGGUACACACUUUAAAAAUUAAUUCUCCACCACUAAGCCAUCCAUUAUACUGUAAGUGAUUUUUCAUUAUUUGUCUAAUAAACUGUAACUUCAUUAUAAAACAGUUAUCGUUCCUCCGGCAUAUAAGGAGUAUGAAAUUGCUUACAUAUUAAUACUGCAUUUUCAAAUAAAAAAUCGUGUUCUCUGUGCCUUUUAAUUUAAAUUUUGCUUUGCAUAAAAAUGCAAAUGAGUACAAAAUGCAUUUUUCAAGCAUCUUGAUUUUGUUUGACAUAAAUUUAGUAAUUAAUAUCCAAAAAUAUGUUGCAAGAGCAGGUCAUCGGAGUGCAAUGGAGGGAGAUUUUACUCCUUUUCACAUCACUGGAACCCCUGAACAGGAGCUACAUAAAGAGGUUUUAUGCCUAAAUAGUUAGUCUGGAUGUUGCAUCAUAUAUGAGAACUAACAUUAGUGGUACAGUUUUAAUGGAUGUUUAACUAACAUUAAUGGUACAGAUGUUUUAAUGGAUGUUUAACUAACAUUAAUGGUACAGAUGUUUUAAUGGAUGUUUAACUAACAUUAAUGGUACGUGUGUUUUUACAGGUUUACAGAUACAUGUCAUGUCUUCUGCAGCAGCAUAGUUUUCAUUCCCAGGCUGACAUCAUACCCCUGAUUUAAGAUAAUUUUUUCUCUGUGCAAUAAGUGAUGGAAAGAGACACUUAUUUUACGGACAUUCAGUUUCUGAAGUUACGGCCAUAGAUGGAACACUGGCAGAAUUCCUGGUGGUCUGCCUGUAUCUGUAGGCAAAGAAAUACUCUGCCACUAUGAAUUUGCGUGGACAGACGCAGCCUCACAGCCAAUCACGUCAAUGCUAAGGAGCUAGUGCUAAGAGAUCUUUGAUGUAAAUUUCCUGAUCACAUGGUGCUCUGUAGGCUGCGCAGAGAGAAUGGCAAAGGCAAGGUUUAUGGUGAAAGGAAUUUGCGCUAAAUAUUGCUUCCACGAGUAUUUUAAUGCGGCAUGUAGCCCAUCCGUCCAUCUUGCAAUGACUUAACUUGGUCUGGCUCACAGGGGGACCCGGAGCCUACCCCAAGAGCACACAAGGUUGGUGUAAGUCUGGAUGGGAUGCCAAUCUAACACAGGGUACAAACACACUGGUGCGCAUGAUCACAGAGUAUGGGCAUUUUAGAGGCACAAGAUAACUUAACUACAUGUCUCUGGAAUGCGGGAGGAGUACGGGAGGGAAGCUGUGUUUCACGGGGAAAGCAUGCAAUCUCCACACACACAGUGCCGCCACUGCGUUCGAGACAACAGAACAACCCAGUGAGCCACCAUGCCGUCACAAUGUCCUCCAAAAAUAAUACAAAUAAAAAUAAAUAGAUGGAUCGGAUGAAAGUGACAGUGGGUGAUGUUUAACUAACAAAGCUACACAAAGCGACUCAGUUCAUCCUUCAGCUACUCACUCACUACUGCUCUCUCAGUACUACUCUCUCACUAGUGACAGCUGAAUUUUAAAUAUUUCUGGGAUGUUUGACAUUCUGACAGCAGGUAGUAAUAGAUUGGCCAGCUCAGCAGCAGGCUACCGCUCACAGACAUCACAUAGGGGAAAAAAUGGGGACAUGAUAACAGGACGCAAAUCUGAACAUUUUCCCAUCUGAAGAAGAAAUCUCUUACAUAGGCUUUAAGUUUCUGGGGAAAAUGGAGGCUUUAGUUAUUAGUUGGACAUUGAUGCGACUGUAGCUAACAGGGGCUGAAUUUAAAAAAACCCGGCAGAUUUCGCUCAGUGACUCAAAAGCCAGAAGAAAAAAAAGGUGAAAGACCUUUGACGUGGUAGAUGGUGGGAUGAAUGAUGAAACUAUUUUUGACAGUUUAAAAUAUUUUUGAACUUUUUUGAACUUGCCGUCGGUUUACCCUAAAUUGUUGGGAUGUGAUGGGCGUUGUCCUGAAUUCUUGCUGCUAUAACUGGCAGCAGAGUAGCAUGCAAGGAUAAACAGAAUCUGACUGAAAAAGAAGUGUAAUUAGUUUUUUUUUUUUUACUUUUCAAGUGAAGUUUCUAUAUUUUAAAAGUUUAGUUUUAAAGUUUAGUGUUUAGCGGUAAUUAGUUCAGUGAAUCCUGAAUUGAUACUGUAUAUCUUUAUUAUGCUUUAUUUUCAUAGUUUUCUUGUACUUCCUUAUCACAUAUUUUUUCAAUUAACAUUAAAGUGCCUCAUGGGGGUGCGUAACAUUUAAGUUUUAUGUGCUUGUGUCGUAGGUCAUUGUCUGUUGUCUUACGUAACUCUUCCCUGUUUUUCCUGAAUUGUAAAUCUCCAAAUAUCUAUGUUAAUAAAUUUCAAUGUUCUGUAUAUCUAUUUUCACUGAUGGCAAUAGAACAUCAGAAAUAAAAUGUGGGGCCCAUCACCAAAGUUCUGAAAUAGCUACACAGCAGGCAAUGUGGCAAGAUAUGGAGUUUCUAGGAGACUGUUGAGGCGGUGUGGGAGAGAAGCCAUGUGACUGGCAUUUGCGUUAAAGCUAACUGGCUGAAUAAUAAGACGUAGCUGGUUUCCAGGUCUUUUAUAUGGCAACUCUGAAUAGUUACAGAAUACUGUACUAUGUAAAUAAAUCCAAUAUAAUGUAAAUAAUAAAUCCAUUAUAGAAAACAGGUAAUAUA